AUUCCAGCUCCAAUAGCGUAUAUUAAAGUUGUUGCAGUUAAAAAGCUCGUAGUUGGAUUUCUGGGCCGGAGAGCUGGUCUCGCCCGCAAGGGCGAUGCACCGUGCUCUGCCGGCUCAUCCUCGGGUGGGUCCGUACUGGCAUUAGGUUGUUGGUUCGGGGAAGCCCGUCUUUUACUGUGAAAAAAUUAGAGUGUUCAAAGCAGGCUUAAGCCGUUGGAUACAUUAGCAUGGAAUAAUGAGAUAGGACCGUGGUGUUUUAUUUUGUUGGUUUGCACGCCAAGGUAAUGAUUAAUAGGGACGGUUGGGGGUAUUCGUAUUCAAUUGUCAGAGGUGAAAUUCUUGGAUUUAUGGAAGACGAACUACUGCGAAAGCAUUUACCAAGGAUGUCUUCAUCA
rnacentral:rRNA from 1 species